UGGUGGCGCACACUUGUAAUCCCAGCUACUUGGGAAGCUGAGGCACGAGAAUCGCUUG
rnacentral:SRP_RNA from 1 species